rnacentral:rRNA from 1 species
ACACAUGCAAGUCGAACGGGAUCCAUCGGGCUUUGCCUGGUGGUGAGAGUGGCGAACGGGUGAGUAAUGCGUGACCGACCUGCCCCAUGCACCGGAAUAGCUCCUGGAAACGGGUGGUAAUGCCGGAUGCUCCAUCACACCGCAUGGUGUGUUGGGAAAGCCUUUGCGGCAUGGGAUGGGGUCGCGUCCUAUCAGCUUGAUGGCGGGGUAACGGCCCACCAUGGCUUCGACGGGUAGCCGGCCUGAGAGGGCGACCGGCCACAUUGGGACUGAGAUACGGCCCAGACUCCUACGGGAGGCAGCAGUGGGGAAUAUUGCACAAUGGGCGCAAGCCUGAUGCAGCGACGCCGCGUGAGGGAUGGAGGCCUUCGGGUUGUAAACCUCUUUUGUUAGGGAGCAAGGCACUUUGUGUUGAGUGUACCUUUCGAAUAAGCACCGGCUAACUACGUGCCAGCAGCCGCGGUAAUACGUAGGGUGCAAGCGUUAUCCGGAAUUAUUGGGCGUAAAGGGCUCGUAGGCGGUUCGUCGCGUCCGGUGUGAAAGUCCAUCGCUUAACGGUGGAUCCGCGCCGGGUACGGGCGGGCUUGAGUGCGGUAGGGGAGACUGGAAUUCCCGGUGUAACGGUGGAAUGUGUAGAUAUCGGGAAGAACACCAAUGGCGAAGGCAGGUCUCUGGGCCGUUACUGACGCUGAGGAGCGAAAGCGUGGGGAGCGAACAGGAUUAGAUACCCU